rnacentral:tRNA from 1 species
ACUCUAGUAGCCCAAUGGAAGAGGCAAACGGCUUAAACCCGUUGUAGUAUAGGUUCGAAUCCUAUCUAGAGUA